UACGAAGGGGGCUAGCGUUGUUCGGAAUACUGGGCGUAAAGCGUGCGCAGGCGGCUUCUCAAGUCAGGGGUGAAAGCCCAGAGCUCAACUCUGGAAUUGCCUUUGAGACUGAGUGGCUUGAGUACGAGAGAGGUGAGUGGAAAUUCCCAGUGUAGAGGUGAAAUUCGUAGAUAUUGGGAAGAACACCGGUGGCGAAGGCGGCUCACUGGCUCGUAACUGACGCUCAUGCACGACAGCGUGGGGGAUCAAAACAGG
rnacentral:rRNA from 1 species